rnacentral:SRP_RNA from 1 species
GAUGGGAGUAUACUUUUGUAAUCGAACUACUCGGAGGUUAGGUAUAGAGGAUGUUUUAGGGGAGGGAAUUCUGGGAUUGGAUUUCCCACGUUGACUAGGGUGAACCUUUGACUUUGUGGAUGCCUUGAGGAAGCCCGAGAUAGACAGGUUGAGUUCAAAAAGGGGAAAAAUCGGGACGAAAGUCACCGAGUUGAAAGUCGUGAGUUCAAAUCCUGGUAGUGGGAGUUCAAUUUCAGUUGGCCAAACAAGAACAGAUUUGUACCUUC